ensembl:rRNA 5S_rRNA 5S ribosomal RNA
AUCUAUGUCCAUGCCACCCUGAAUGUGCCUGAUCUCCUCUGACCUCAGAAGCUAAGCAGGGUUGGGCCUGGCUUAGUGUGGGAGAGAUUACUUGAGUGGGAGAGAUGCUUGCCAAGGAUG